rnacentral:rRNA from 1 species
GACGAACGCUGGCGGCGUGCCUAAUACAUGCAAGUCGAGCGCAGGAAACUGACGGAACUCUUCGGAGGGAAGGCAGCGGAAUGAGCGGCGGACGGGUGAGUAACACGUAAGGAACCUGCCUCAAGGAUUGGGAUAACUCCGAGAAAUCGGAGCUAAUCCCGGAUAGUUCCUCGGACCGCUUGGUCCGUUGCCGAAAGCCGCUCCCGCGUCACCUAGCGCUGGCCUUGCGGUGUAUUAGGUAGUUGGUGGGGUAACGGCCCACCAAGGCGACGAUACAUAGCCGACCUGAGAGGGUGAUCGGCCACACUGGGACUGAGACACGGCCCAGACUCCUACGGGAGGCAGCAGUAGGGAAUCUUCCACAAUGGACGAAAGUCUGAUGGAGCAACGCCGCGUGAGUGAUGAAGGUUUUCGGAUCGUAAAACUCUGUUGUAAGGGAAGAACACGUACGAGAGGAAAUGCUCGUACCUUGACGGUACCUUACGAGAAAGCCACGGCUAACUACGUGCCAGCAGCCGCCGUAA